GAUGAACGCUGGCGGCGUGCCUAAUACAUGCAAGUCGAGCGAACGGACGAGAAGCUUGCUUCUCUGAUGUUAGCGACGGACGGGUGAGUAACACGUGGAUAACCUACCUAUAAGACUGGGAUAACUUCGGGAAACCGGAGCUAAUACCGGAUAAUAUUUUGAACCGCAUGGUUCAAAAGUGAAAGACGGUCUUGCUGUCACUUAUAGAUGGAUCCGCGCUGCAUUAGCUAGUUGGUAAGGUAACGGCUUACCAAGGCAACGAUGCAUAGCCGACCUGAGAGGGUGAUCGGCCACACUGGAACUGAGACACGGUCCAGACUCCUACGGGAGGCAGCAGUAGGGAAUCUUCCGCAAUGGGCGAAAGCCUGACGGAGCAACGCCGCGUGAGUGAUGAAGGUCUUCGGAUCGUAAAACUCUGUUAUUAGGGAAGAACAUAUGUGUAAGUAACUGUGCACAUCUUGACGGUACCUAAUCAGAAAGCCACGGCUAACUACGUG
rnacentral:rRNA from 1 species